GAUGAACGCUGGCGGCGUGCCUAAUACAUGCAAGUCGAGCGAACAGACGAGGAGCUUGCUCCUCUGACGUUAGCGGCGGACGGGUGAGUAACACGUGGAUAACCUACCUAUAAGACUGGGAUAACUUCGGGAAACCGGAGCUAAUACCGGAUAAUCUAUUGAGCCGCAUGGUUCAAUAGUGACAGACGGUUUUGCUGUCACUUAUAGAUGGAUCCGCUCCGCAUUAGCUAGUUGGUAAGGUAACGGCUUACCAAGGCAACGAUGCGUAGCCGACCUGAGAGGGUGAUCGGCCACACUGGAACUGAGACACGGUCCAGACUCCUACGGGAGGCAGCAGUAGGGAAUCUUCCGCAAUGGGCGAAAGCCUGACGGAGCAACGCCGCGUGAGUGAUGAAGGUCUUCGGAUCGUAAAACUCUGUUAUUAGGGAAGAACAAAUGUGUAAGUAACUAUGCACGUAUUGACGGUACCUAAUCAGAAAGCCACGGCUAACUACGUG
rnacentral:rRNA from 1 species